rnacentral:misc_RNA from 1 species
AUUUUCCAACAGCUUUUUGUGUUAAGUUUUAAAACAUUAGUUAUAAAUGCUCAUCACUCUGAAGCCCUGUAUACUGUGAUAACAGAAAGUGUUUAAUGUUGCAAGCUAAUAUAUUGUAUGUAUGGAGAAACUGUGAUCUUUAUUUUUUACUUAUCAAGUAUACAUAUGAUGGUCUGAUAGUUUUUAACUAUGAAAAUACCAUCUUGUUUUCUUUGAAAAAGUAUAACUUUUUCAUGGUAUAAACUAAGCAUUUGGCAAUGGUUCAUUCCAACUUGAAAUCAUUAUUGCUCAAUGCGUGAAUUAGAUAGGAGUUUGGUCAGUAGGGUUUAAGCUAGAUUAGAAUUAACUUUCUCCUUCAAUAACAUACGUGUAUGUAUGCAUGUACAUGUUCCUAGUCAAAGACAAUGUUAUAUUUAGGAUCCAAUGAUAACCAAAGAUUUGUACAGAAACUGUAGCAUCUUUUGUUUGAAAUUCUCAGCUAUGAUCUCUAUGGUUUUAUUGUAUCAGUUCUUUGAUCUUGAUUUUCUGUAUGACAGAGCAAAACAUGACUUUAUCUGCAUUAUUGUGUUUUGAAUUAUUUUUACCUCAGUCUAUAUCUCUCAGUGAUGUUAUUCACUUCUAUAUAUGAUUAUGUUAUUGAUUUUCUUGUUGCCUUUCUUUCAUAGGAUUUAAAGUUAUUUGAUUUACUGAAUUGUAUCAUUAAAACUCAUUAAAG